CCAGACUCCUACGGGAGGCAGCAGUCGGGAAUAUUGCCCAAUGGAGGAAACUCUGACGCAGUGACGCCGCGUAUAGGAAGAAGGUUUUCGGAUUGUAAACUAUUGUCGUGAGGGAAGAAAUUGACAGUACCUCAGGAGGAAGCUCCGGCUAACUAUGUGCCAGCAGCCGCGGUAAUACAUAGGGAGCAAGCGUUAUCCGGAUUUAUUGGGUUUAAAGGGAGCGUAGGCCGGUCUUUAAGCGUGCCGUGAAAUUUUGUGGCUCAACCAUGAGAGUGCGGCGCGAACUGGAGACCUUGAGUGCGCGGAAGGCAGGCGGAAUUCGUGGUGUAGCGGUGAAAUGCUUAGAUAUCACGAAGAACCCCGAUUGCGAAGGCAGCCUGCCGCAGCGUUACUGACGCUGAAGCUCGAAAGCGCGGGUAUCGAACAGGAUUAGAUACCCGCGUAAA
rnacentral:rRNA from 1 species